rnacentral:rRNA from 1 species
UACGUAGGGGGCAAGCGUUAUCCGGAAUUACUGGGUGUAGAGGGUGAGUAGGCGGCAUGGUAAGCCAGAUGUGAAAGCCUUGGGCUUAACCCGAGGAUUGCAUUUGGAACUAUCAAGCUAGAGUACAGGAGAGGAAAGCGGAAUUCCUAGUGUAGCGGUGAAAUGCGUAGAUAUUAGGAAGAACACCAGUGGCGAAGGCGGCUUUCUGGACUGAAACUGACGCUGAGGCACGAAAGCGUGGGGAGCGAACAGG